rnacentral:rRNA from 1 species
CCUUUGGAAACGAAGAUUAAUACCCCAUAGUACCUCAUAGUAGCAUUGCUAAAAGGUUAAAGCUUUCGGGCGGUACAGGAUGGUCAUGCGUACCAUUAGCUAGAUGGUAAGGUAACGGCUUACCAUGGCAACGAUGGUUAGGGGCCCUGAGAGGGGGAUCCCCCACACUGGUACUGAGACACGGACCAGACUCCUACGGGAGGCAGCAGUGAGGAAUAUUGGACAAUGGGCGGAGCCUGAUCCAGCCAUGCCGCGUGCAGGAAGAAUGCCCUAUGGUAGUAAACUGCUUUUAUACAGGAAGAAAAAGGGUUACGUGUAACCUACUGACGGUACUGUAAGAAUAAGGACCGGCUAACUCCGUGCCAGCAGCCGCGGUAAUACGGAGGGUCCGAGCGUUAUCCGGAAUUAUUGGGUUUAAAGGGUCCGUAGCGGGCUUAUAAGUCAGAGGUGAAAUGGUGCAGCUCAACUGUAGCACUGCCUUUGAUACUGUAGGUCUUGAGUCAUGGUGAAGUUGGCGGAAUAUGUAGUGUAGCGGUGAAAUGCAUAGAUAUUACAUAGAACACCUAUUGCGAAGCAGCUGACUAACCAUGUACUGACGCUGAUGGACGAAAG